rnacentral:rRNA from 1 species
CGCGGCCUAUCAGCUUGUUGGUGGGGUAACGGCCCACCAAGGCAUCGACGGGUAGCUGGUCUGAGAGGACGAUCAGCCACACUGGGACUGAGACACGGCCCAGACUCCUACGGGAGGCAGCAGUGGGGAAUAUUGCGCAAUGGGCGAAAGCCUGACGCAGCAACGCCGCGUGGGGGAUGAAGGCCUUCGGGUUGUAAACCCCUUUCAGCAGGGACGAAAAUGACGGUACCUGCAGAAGAAGCCCCGGCCAACUACGUGCCAGCAGCCGCGGUAACACGUAGGGGGCAAGCGUUGUCCGGAUUUAUUGGGCGUAAAGAGCUCGUAGGCGGUUGCGUAAGUCGGAUGUGAAAACUCAGGGCUCAACCCGGAGACGCCAUCCGAUACUGCGCUGACUAGAGUCCGGUAGAGGAGCAUGGAAUUCCUGGUGUAGCGGUGAAAUGCGCAGAUAUCAGGAGGAACACCAGUGGCGAAGGCGGUGCUCUGGGCCGGCACUGACGCUGAGGAGCGAAAGCGUGGGUAGCGAACAGGAUUAGAUACCCUGGUAGUCCACGCCGUAAACGUUGGGCACUAGGUGUGGGGCCUCCUUAACGGGUUCCGUGCCGUAGCUAACGCAUUAAGUGCCCCGCCUGGGGAGUACGG